rnacentral:rRNA from 1 species
UAAGCGGUUGAAGGUGUGUGGUAACGCAUGCUGGACGUAUCAGAAGUGCGAAUGCUGACAUGAGUAACGAUAAAGGGGGUGAAAAACCUCCUCGCCGGAAGACCAAGGGUUCCUGUCCAACGUUAAUCGGGGCAGGGUAAGUCGACCCCUAAGGCGAGGCCGAAAGGCGUAGUCGAUGGGAAACGGGUUAAUAUUCCCGUACUUCUUACAAUUGCGAUGGGGGGACGGAGAAGGCUAGGUGGGCCUGGCGACGGUUGUCCAGGUUCAAGUGCGUAGGCUUGAGAGUUAGGUAAAUCCGGCUCUCUUUAAGGCUGAGACACGACGUCGAGCACCUACGGGUGUGAAGUCAUUGAUGCCAUGCUUCCAGGAAAAGCCUCUAAGCUUCAGAUUGUAAGGAAUCGUACCCCAAACCGACACAGGUGGUCGGGUAGAGAAUACCAAGGCGCUUGAGAGAACUCGGGUGAAGGAACUAGGCAAAAUGGUACCGUAACUUCGGGAGAAGGUACGCUCUCGACGGUGAAGUCCCUCGCGGAUGGAGCUAUUGAGAGUCGCAGAUACCAGGUGGCUGCAACUGUUUAUUAAAAACACAGCACUGUGCAAAAUCGUAAGAUGACGUAUACGGUGUGACGCCUGCCCGGUGCCGGAAGGUUAAUUGAUGGGGUUAGACUUCGGUCGAAGCUCUUGAUCGAAGCCCCGGUAAACGGCGGCCGUAACUAUAACGGUCCUAAGGUAGCGAAAUUCCUUGUCGGGUAAGUUCCGACCUGCACGAAUGGCGUAAUGAUGGCCACGCUGUCUCCACCCGAGACUCAGUGAAAUUGAAAUCGCUGUGAAGAUGCAGUGUACCCGCGGCUAGACGGAAAGACCCCGUGAACCUUUACUACAGCUUGGCACUGAACAUUGACCCUACAUGUGUAGGAUAGGUGGGAGGCUUUGAAGCACGUACGCCAGUAUGUGUGGAGCCGUCCUUGAAAUACCACCCUUGUAGUGUUGAUGUUCUAACGUUGACCCCUAAUCGGGGUUGCGGACAGUGCCUGGUGGGUAGUUUGACUGGGGCGGUCUCCUCCCAAAGAGUAACGGAGGAGCACGAAGGUGGGCUAAUCACGGUUGGACAUCGUGAGGUUAGUGCAAUGGCAUAAGCCCGCUUGACUGCGAGAAUGACAAUUCGAGCAGGUGCGAAAGCAGGUCAUAGUGAUCCGGUGGUUCUGAAUGGAAGGGCCAUCGCUCAACGGAUAAAAGGUACUCCGGGGAUAACAGGCUGAUACCGCCCAAGAGUUCAUAUCGACGGCGGUGUUUGGCACCUCGAUGUCGGCUCAUCACAUCCUGGGGCUGAAGUCGGUCCCAAGGGUAUGGCUGUUCGCCAUUUAAAGUGGUACGCGAGCUGGGUUUAGAACGUCGUGAGACAGUUCGGUCCCUAUCUGCCGUGGGCGUUGGAAGAUUGAAGGGGGCUGCUCCUAGUACGAGAGGACCGGAGUGGACGAACCUCUGGUGUUCGGGUUGUGUCGCCAGACGCAUUGCCCGGUAGCUAAGUUCGGAAUCGAUAACCGCUGAAAGCAUCUAAGCGGGAAGCGAGCCCUGAGAUGAGUCUUCCCUGAUACUUUAAGUAUCCUAAAGGGUUGUCGGAGACUACGACGUUGAUAGGUCAGGUGUGUAAGUGCUGUGAGGCAUUGAGCUAACUGAUACUAAUUGCCCGUGAGGCUUAACCAUACAACAC